GACGAACGCUGGCGGCGUGCUUAACACAUGCAAGUCGAACGGAAAGGCCCUGCUUGCAGGGUACUCGAGUGGCGAACGGGUGAGUAACACGUGGGUGAUCUGCCCUGCACUUCGGGAUAAGCCUGGGAAACUGGGUCUAAUACCGGAUAGGAGCCAUUUUUAGUGAGGGUUGGGAAGUGUUUUCGGUGUAGGAUGAGCUCGCGGCCUAUCAGCUUGUUGGUGGGGUAAUGGCCUACCAAGGCGGCGACGGGUAGCCGGCCUGAGAGGGUGGACGGCCACAUUGGGACUGAGAUACGGCCCAGACUCCUACGGGAGGCAGCAGUGGGGAAUAUUGCACAAUGGGCGCAAGCCUGAUGCAGCGACGCCGCGUGGGGGAUGACGGCCUUCGGGUUGUAAACUCCUUUCGCUAGGGACGAAGCUUUUUGUGACGGUACCUAGAGAAGAAGCACCGGCUAACUACGUG
rnacentral:rRNA from 1 species